ensembl:lncRNA
GGAAAGGAAAUAAUGAGUGUUUCCAGAUGAACGUCCUACUUGUCCUCCUCAGCAGGGUUUCCCCACAGUAGUUUUCCCACAGUAGUUUUCACCAGUUCUCGCACAAGCUUCUUGCUGGUUGUUCCCACUGGUGAGACUGUUAGCACUGGCUGUAGCACUCUUUGUUAUGGGGCAGGUGCCUCACGAAUCUUGGCAGUGAUUUCUGCAUGCACGUUACUUGUCCCCUAAUGUAACACAAAAGCUACAACUGAAGAGGAAAAGGGAGCAAGAAGGGGUGAUUUUCACACCAGCAGCAAUCACUUCCCAUGAAAGCCUACCACAGUGAUGUUGUUGAGGGUUGUGGGUGCAUGAGAGAAAAAGCUUGAAAAAUCAUUGUGAGAGUAACAAGGAGGAGAUACGGUGGCAGAGGCUCUGGCAAACUGCCCUUGCAUCUUGGGUGAAAGGUUGUGGAGUUGGAUCAAAAGGCAAUUUACAACAGUGCAGGCAGAAGGCCAAAUUGCUAAGAUAUCUAAAGCAGUGUGCAACAAGGUGCAGGAGAAGAAUCCUUCACUAUUUUGGCCUUAGAACAGAACCUGAAGAGGAUGUGAAAGCUCUCUCCUUGGAGGUACCCAGAGCUUGACUGGAAAAGGUCCUCAGCAACCCAAUCAAACGUGAAGGCUUUCCAACAGAUAUUCUUGGAGAAAUCAGCCAUGCCUAGGUUUAUAAAAAUGAACAGAAACAGGUGUUACAGUGAUGGAAAGUUUGCAGAAGAAAAUGAUCCGGGAAAAAUACCAUGCAGAAAAAGCAGCAGCUCAGAUUGCAACAGCCAGUGUACUUUGUUGGCAUUGUGAAAUACAGCAUAACAAAACCUACAGCUCCGUGGAAGAUACCCUGCAACACCAGCCAUUUUCUGCCUAUCGCUGUGUCAUCUGAGCCAUCCUUAGUUCAUUUGCUCAUUGAUGUUAUUUUUCUCAGUGCCUGUGAAACCAGGAAUGGCAUGCAGUAUGCUUGGAAUUUGUCCAGGUUCCUGUUGAGAUAGUAGAAUGGAAAGAAAAUAAAAAGUACACUGACCCAAUUUACCCAAGUAAAUGUAUUGGGCCAUGACAAGAAAUGAAAUGAACAUGUUUAUUGUUGAAUCAUUUUUCAGGUGAAGCGGCUUAGGACAAUAUAUUAUAAAUGGAGCUGGAGAUCAGGGACUAGAGACUUCUCAUCAGGGUGUCUAUUAACUUCAAAGGGUGCUUUAUGUUCCAUGCAUCAAAUAUUUAAAAGAAGAAGACUCUUAAAAAAAAAAAUAAAAAUUCUACUUAAUUUCAUUUCACUGAAAGUUUACGUCCGCUUUUCUUGUACCUGUUUCAAAUCAAAAAGAACACCAGUGAGUCUAUUUUUUCCUUUCCAUACCAGCUACCUACAUAUAGGAUUUAGGGAGUGUGUGGCCCUUGCUCUCAAGCAUGAGUAGAAAUACAUCUGGCUGCAUCUGAAAGUGCUAAGAAACACAACAGCACAAGGGUUUGUUUUUCAGAUGCAGAGUGGAGGAUGCACUUAAAACCAGAUAAUCAUCUAGACUGAACAGCCUGUGCUUAACUUUGGCUCCCCCACACCUGUGCCAUUCUUUGUACUAUGCCAGGUGAUGCCCUGUUCCAGCAGUGAGUGUGCCAAGGGGUUGGGUGCUCUAUUGUUGGAUCUGUAUCCCAAGAAGGACCAAACAAACCCUGUGAUCUCUG